AUUGAACGCUGGCGGCAUGCUUUACACAUGCAAGUCGGACGGCAGCACAGAGAAGCCUGCUUCUUGGGUGGCGAGUGGCGAACGGGUGAGUAAUAUAUCGGAACGUACCGGGCAGUGGGGGAUAACUAAUCGAAAGAUUAGCUAAUACCGCAUAUCUUCUGAGGAAGAAAGCAGGGGACCAUUUGGCCUUGCGCUGUUUGAGCGGCCGAUAUCUGAUUAGCUAGUUGGUGGGGUAAAGGCCUACCAAGGCGACGAUCAGUAGCGGGUCUGAGAGGAUGAUCCGCCACACUGGGACUGAGACACGGCCCAGACUCCUACGGGAGGCAGCAGUGGGGAAUUUUGGACAAUGGGCGCAAGCCUGAUCCAGCCAUGCCGCGUGUCUGAAGAAGGCCUUCGGGUUGUAAAGGACUUUUGUCAGGGAAGAAAAGGGCGGGGUUAAUACCCC
rnacentral:rRNA from 1 species